CCGCAGUGCCCCAGUCCGUCAGACCCACGCAAGAUGACUGCCGGAAAUGGAAAUUCGGGUAAUAGGAGAUUACCCAUAUCCGAACCCGAAUUUUUUGACCUAUCCACGCUAGUUCCCAAAAAACAGACGGCCGUCGGGAACUGACGCGUGCCUCGUCACCGCAGACGCCCGAGGAGCAAGCGGGGGCCGUGGCUGUCGGGGAGGCACCGAUGGUGGAGCAGGAGGAGGAGGAGGCCGCCUCCAUUUGCUAAUCGAGAUGGAGUCUAAGCCAGAGCCCCAAAAGGCGAAGCACCCCUCCCUACCGGUUCCCAAGGAGCAGGCAGCCACCAAGGCCGCCGGGGAGGCGGCGUGCGCCUCGCCACUAGCGCCCGAGGAGCAAGCGGGGUCACGGCCACCAAGGAGGCGUCGAGGGUGGAGCAUGAGGAGGAGGAGGAUGUGCUCACCAACGAGCAGCCAUGGGAGGUGGCUGCGACCCGUUGGAUCCACGCAGCUCGUGCUGUGCGGAUGGGUGAGGGGUGGGGAGGAGAGCCUGGGAGGAGAGGGGAGGCGGCGGUAGGGAGCAAGUGAAAGAGGGAGAGGGCGGCGAGGAAUCGGGAAGGAGAGGGGGUUUAGGGUUGGGAUCUGAGGGAGGGGAUUAUUGCAAAAGUGCCUAGAAAUUGUAAGGGCCCAAGCAUUAUUCUAUUUCUCCUUCUUUAUAUCAAAAUAAAUAUUAUUUUGAGGA